AAGACAGACAGGAAGAAAAAUUCAACCACGACUAAAUCAAUAUUUGGUGAAAUAUUGUGCAGAUAAAGCCUGCCUGUGAUAAUUACGCAAUAAUUCAAGUUUACGUUUUCCAAAAGUAUUGUGUUUCAAUAAUAAAAUGGAAGCCUACAUUGAUGACUGCAAAAUAUUGAUUUAAUAAAAUAAUGCGAAAAUCAACGAGUUGAUUAAAUUGCAGAAUGGAGCCGAUGACUGUGAAAAUGUACUUAAAGUUAGUGCUUUUUGGCUUUGUUCUUGGAGUCUCUACAGGUUCAGCAAACCCCAGCUGUUACGAUUCAUUUACAGAUCUUUGCGAUGCAGAUAUACCUGACAUUCCAUAUUUAACGACAAGAGACCCAACAAUAAUGGUAACCAACGUAACGUUUCACUGGAAAUUUUGCGACGUUUAUGCAAUUAAUACAAGCAUGUGGUACAAGAGCAAAACUCCAAUGAGUACAAGUUGUCCUUCUAUGUUCAUGUGUGGAACAAAGUUUCCCAUCUGGAUGAACGGUCAAAAUCCGGAUACUCAUGACGGGCUGGUAAAUCGGACAUCUUGUUUAAGAGACUUUGACAGCUGUUGUCUACAUACUUACACAGUUUCGGCAAAUAAACUGUGGGGAGUUCAUGGCGUACUGUUUUGUUGAUCUGCCGUCAAAUUACCAUCAGAGAUACUGCUUUGAUUUGAAGAUACCGGAACCAAAUACUGACAUAACUCACACAUCUGCGCUUUUGCAAACUGAAGCGUUGUCCAAUGUCUCCUCAACAAAGAUAACACAGCCAGCAACAGCGACUACCUCUCUUCCUGGGACUGAUCAAAGUACACAUUACACGACAACUCCGAACACAAAAGUGCAUGUAAAAGGCAUGUUUGGGUUAAAAAUACAUUAACGGUAGUUUAAGCAAUACUUAAGGAAUAUAUGGUUCUUUAGAUUAGUAUUAGAUUUCACAAAAUCAGACUAUGUUUUACUAAGAUAUGAUGAAUAUCUGCCAGAUAUCCGUUACAGACUUUGACUGAUUUGCCCCUCACUAAUCUGAGAUUGAAAAAUCGCCUGGGUUGGUAAUAGAAUACUUUUUUUAGAAAGCCAUCCAGCUAGUUUACAGAAUAUCGAUGGUACUACCAGCUGUUUUUUAGAGUUCUACUUUGGUAUCUUGGAAAAGUCACAAUGUGACAUGACAUGCGUGUGUAUGUGUGUGUGUGUGUGUGUGUGUGUGUGUGUGUGUGUGUAUAUUUUCGCUUUUAGGACGUUGCAGUACGUCAAAAACAUGCUUAACAUCUUAACAUUAUUGUUUAAUUUUAUAUAAUUUAAUACUUUUAUAUUUCUGUCUAAUUAAAUUUGUCGUUUCAGAGCUGGAGACUAACCAUGAGUCAAAAAUUACUACAUUGCUAGCAUGUAUCGGUCUUAUGGCAGCAGCAAUUGUAGUUUUGGUAACAGUUAUAAUUCGUCGCAAGCGAAUGUCAAAGGUAACAGACAAAAUGAUGAAAGAUAAACCGCCAGCUGACAAGGAUAAGCCAUAUGAAACAUUGAGAAAGCCGGAGGUCAGUGUUAUUAAAGCAAACGCUCCUGAGGGCUUCUAUCGUGUCAUUUCAUACGACCAUCACGUUGAUGCUGUCCAAGGAGGUACAUACCCAGGCUAUGAUACCUUAAACAACAUUGACUAUACAAUUGCAGAACAUGACAAGGGGACACUGAACACAGAAAAGGAGUUGUAUGAAGAGGAAGACCGCUAUGUAUCACUACCUUAAGAAAGAGGAAGUAUGGGAUAAUGAAAUAAUUUAGUAUCGUUGUACUUUGAAAUGUUCAAAACAAUUUUUUAAGGUAAUUACCACUACCAAAUUUAAACAAGUAUUGAAAAUACAGACAACUUUAAAUAUUCGGUACAUUGGUGGAAACACAAUUAAAUCCUGUAUACAGUUUUACCUUUAUAUGAAUAAGGGCUAAUGAUAUGAACAGAUUAAGAACGUUUUGACACACGUUUAUGAAAUAUUACAUUAAGGUAUUGGAUCCCUAAUAGUAAUGUUUAAAAAAUAGCAUUUGCUUGGUAUAUUCUUAAAAUUGACCAUGUUUCGCACUGUGUUUCAAAUUAAUUUUUAAACAAUUUUUACCGUGCCGUUUCUUGUAAAUUUUGUAUAAUUUAUGGCAUUUCCUCAAGCUCAAGUAGAGACAAGUUUCAAUGUGAUGGCCACUAUCUAGAACGUUUGCAGAGAAUUCAUUACAGCAUUAACUCUGUUAAAAGAAACAUCAAAAUAUUGUUAAACAAUUAUAAAACACAAAAUAAAACUGUAAAUAUCAUUUUUUUUCUAGGAUGCCUCAAGUAAGCAAAUUUAAUGAGACAAAAUUCUCCAAAAUUGAAAAAUUAAGGUCGAACCCUGUGGGUCUGUUUUGAAUUUUGCUCACUUCAUUCAAAAAUAACCUUGGGGCAGAAGUAAAAUCUACCUGCAUUUCUUCCACAAUAUGUAAUCUAAAGAAUGAAGGCAAAAUAGAGAACUUUUACCGCAUGUUACUCAGUAUUUUUAAAGAUGUCUAACUCUACCCCUCCUGAUUGUGGUAAAUUUAGUAAGAAAUGGCUUACAAAAUGAAAAAUUUCCACUUUUGUACAAUAAAUCCAUAAUAAGUCUAGAAAAAGUAAAAACUUACUAGAAAAAAAGGAAAAUAUGGAAAAAAAAUUGGCCCCAGUGGGGCUUGAACCUACGCCCCCACUACCCUCCGCCCCCACCCCAUCCCCGCACCGAAAAUUGCAGUCAACGUAGGUUUAUGGUAAGAUUCGAAUACUCUUCAAUACUCUUCAAACAGGAGGUACUCUAUUAUGGGUCCAAUACCUUAAUUGUGACACAUCAUGGUUUUUGAACGAAUUUUCAUUCAAAAUGAGUUCAUGUAUAUUGUUUAAUAUAUAGAAUGUAGUACACAUAUUGCAAGUGACAUGUUAUAUUAUUCUUUUUUAAAUGGAUUAGGUUAGUUCUGCACGUUAGGAUCGAUUUUUCUACACUGUUUGAUUGAACCCCAAUUUUUUAAAAAAUUAGAAUAUGCUAAGACAGUUCUGCAAAUGAAAACGGUGGGGCCAUGUGCUUGUUUAUUUGCUACACAGACUGAGUUUUUUGAAACAGGACUCUAUGGAAAAAUACAACUUUCUUAUCAUUUUGGCGGUGAGAAUUUUUUUGUACAAUGUAGAUUUUAAUGAAACUUCUCACAGUCAAAACUAACGUAUGGUUUUUAAAGUGGUAAAAAAUAAAAUGUAUAGGCGCAUGGACUUUGUUUUUUAGAUAUUGUGCCAUGAUUUAAGUGAACCGCACAUUCAAGCUAAUUUUAAGACAUUAUUUUGAAAUAUUUAACGUGCCAGAAGUUUAAAUAUCAUCCGUUAACUUUAGAAAGAUAGUAGCAUUGCCAUUGUAAUAAAUUUACCCAUGGAUUGCCAUUUAUUCAUUAAAUGAUUUAAAUGUAUAAAAUUUUAUUGAAUUUAUGUAGCCAUAUGUACAUCAAUCAGUGUAUGUAGGUAAAUUUCAAUCAGAUUUUGUUUCUAAAAUGUAAGAUAACUAUUCGUAUAUAUUCUUAAAACUAUUCUAAAAAGAGAUUGACUAAACAAGUUUGCAGAUCAAGUUAUGAAAACACAUUUGUUCAGGAAGGACCUAAAUUGUCCACCCAAAAACUUGUAGUAUGGCUGCAUAUUACCUGUAUUAUAAGAAUGAUUUUCAUGAAGUUUUUGUGAGUUACAAAAAUGUUGAAUUCCCUAUGUUAUGUGUGUAAACAUCACAUUAUCUUUGGAUCUAUUUAUAAAUUAUAGCCUCGUUUCGGAGCAUUCUUCCGAAAAAAAAAUCGAGGAUGCGACGGGUUCGUAAGCAGUCGGAAAACAUACUUAAUUAUUUCGGUUUGAAAUAGGCAAAAAGUUUUUGUUUAUUUGUUAAUUAUUCUUGAACAUAUCCACGACUAUUUGGUCAGAUCCGAUACAGUAGGUUAUAUUUUCAGUAAAUAUGAAGUCUCAGCUACAAACACUGGUUUUCAUAUAAUACUCGUUCGGGCUUUAGUAGUGGACUUUUAACUUAUAUACUAUGAUUUUCUGCAUAGCACUGUAGCAAGGUUCUGUCAAAAACUAGGUACAAUAUGUAUGUUGCAUGUUCUUUAUUAUUUGUAUUAUUCACAUUUGAACCAGACGCAUUUUUAGAAUACCAAAUGCCAUGCUAUAAACGCACAAUUAUCUAAGCAAAUGUACUUUUACUGAGUAUAAUAGUUUACCUGUAAUCAAUGUCAUUAUAUGAUUUUGCAACUGCUUUUGUUUGAAUUCUUUAUUUUCGAAUAGGGAAUCCUUUCUUUCUUAUACCACUACCUUUGAAAAAUGUAAAUAUUCACUAUUAAACGGGCACAAUACUAUAAUCAUAUUUAAGUUUAUCCUAUACAUUGGAUGCAUUUGUGUAGCUUAUAUAAAAAUAUCAGUCCGUUAAUGCUUUAAACAUUUUCAUGUACAUAUAUACAAGUAUAUCAAUAUAUAAUUUUUGAUUUGGUAUCUGAGUGCAGAAAUGUUGGCAAUAAUUCGGAGUAACACAGUGAUACACGUACCAAACUAACAGUAUCUCGAAAGCUAGGGCGGGGGUCUCCUUGACCAAGUUGUUAAGCGCAAUGACUUCAAAUCACUCACAUUUCAUUGAUGUCGGUUCGGGCCUCAUUUGGAGCGUAGAGUUCUCUAGGCAAGAAAGUCAUCCAGCUGGCUUACGGAAAGACCAUGGUUCUACCUAGAGGCCAGCUUGGAUAUAUAAAAAUGCCCGGAGGACAUUUUUUCUACCAUCAAAAGCUUGAAAAAUUGCUAAAUGACUUAUAAUUUUACCGGCAUAACGUUAAUAUAUACCGAUAAAAACACGGGCCGGGAGAUUACAAAAACAUUCUCAUUUCUCUCAUAUUUCCUGCUUUUGAAGAGUCACGCCGACAAACUGUAGGUCAUUUUGGCAAUUUAAGAAGCUUUUGAUUUUGGAGAAAGACCUUAGGCGUCCUUUCAAGUUUCCUUUUUUUGCAUGGGUAAUUGAGUGUCCUUUACGUUUGGGGAAAUAAUGUAUUUACAUACCUUUUCACCGUAAAGUAAUAUAACCCUCAAUGUUUUGUUGCAUGUGACAAUAAGCUGAUAUUUAUGGACCAUAAUAUGUUUAGGCAUCCUUUUUAGCUUGAAUAUAACUUACGUCUUAUAAUAUACUCCUUUGUUAUUUCAAAGUAUAAGUGACACAUUUUAUGUACACUCUUAUACAUUGGUUUUAAAUUCAACUUUUGGUCUAAUAACAAUAUUCAAAGGAAAUAGCUUGAUUUUAAACCCUGAAUAUCGGAAAAUACCCAAACCGUUUUCAUUUAAUUUAUAUCAAAAACAGUUAGGCUGUAGUAUAUGGAUAUCGAAUAGCAUGAUAUCAUAUCAGCUCUUUUACAGAUACUCCUGAAGAGGACAAUCGACAAGUUUUAUACGGAAUUAUUAUUAAUCUCCACUUAUUGUAUCUGUAAGGUUACAUGUUAUUUGUUGACAUUGCAAUAAAAACCUCUAAAAUAGAAUGU